AGUUUAUUGAAGGAUAAAAGUGUUUUCAUAAACUGUGUUUUCAUAAUGUAUUCUCAUUGCUGUGUUACAAGGAGUGUUAAUGGAGGAACAAAGAAGAGUCUGUUUAAAAUGGCACACAUACACACACACACAGAUUCACAUGACUGACAGUCACAAGAUCCACACUAACAAAUAAGGCGUUGGUCAAGACCACAUGAUUGUCUCAUGUUACUGUUUGUUGAAAUAAAAAGACUGCACUGAGAGAAGGCGGGGGAGAGUUGGCUCUCCUAGCUGAGAGUUGGCUCUCCUAGCUGAGAGUUGGCUCUCCUAGCUGAGAGUUGGCUCUCCUAGCUGAGAGUUGGUGCUCCUAGCUGAGAGUUGGCUCUCCUAGCUGAGAGUUGGCUCUCCUAGCUGAGAGUUGGCUCUCCUAGCUGAGAGUUGGUUAAGGAGUUGACAUGACAUGUCACUCGCUGAUUCUCCUUGCAGCAAGUAAACUUGAAACAUGAGUCCUGUUAUCUUUGUUCACUGGGUUCUGGUAGAUUUGAACCGAGCUGGGGUUUACCCUUACAAAGUAAUAUAGAUACACCACAUUAAUUGGUCCUUCGAGCCGGAUUCCAACACAUCGUGACGGGAAGGAGGAGGGAAAAGACACGCCGCAAGUCUGUCGACAGCCGGGAUCAUCAGCCGACCCCGAGAAAGACCCGGGACGCAGAAUUCGUGGCCGGGCCGGUGCUUAUAUGUCCAACCUCCCUCAUCCUCGGCACGAUUGACGGAAUCCAACCGGACCAGUGACCACAGAUAACGGGAUACUCGAGUGCAGACUGGUGACCAGGUCCUCGUGAAGGUGAUUAAGAGGAAGCAUUGGCACUGUCCACGGUGGGACGUUCCCUACACGGUACUGCUGACAACACCGACUGCACUAAAAAUCGCCGAAAGAACUACGUGGAUACAUCAGAGCCACUGCAAAAAGAUAAUACCUCUCCAACUUAACGACGGAUAAGUGGUGGAAGUCCGGCUACAAAGGGCGGUGUUUCAUUAGGAAAUACUGGUCUCAACCCCGGUGAAGAAAACAACAGAACCACUAUCACAACUAGACUUUGUUGGGAAAGGUGUUGUGUGUAGUGACCCUGCUGGGUCUGACGCUAAUGACUAUAAAGACACUGUAACCAGCUAGUAAUUAUGAAAAACAGGAGGGAAUUUUAGAGUUUAUUGAAGGAUAAAUGUGUUUUCAUAAACUGUGUUUUCAUAAUGUAUUCUCAUUGCUGUGUUACAAGGAGUGUUAAUGGAGGAACAAAGAAGAGUCUGUUUAAAA